CAAAUUAAUGUACAAAUUCCACUAUCUUUCCAAUCACUCUCUUUUUCCUCUUGACCCUUAUUACUCUGUGUGUGUGUGUGAGAGAGAGGCCCUUUCCCCACUCCAUAACCACUCUUUUUCCAUUGAACAACAAAAACAUAGACCUCUUUACAGUCAGCUCUUUACUCAUCUUCUGUCCCUUUGUUUUGUCCCUUUUGUCUCUCACCAAACCCUUUCAAUUCUUGUGUACUAUUUUCCUAACAUUCUUGCCCCAUUUUUUUUAUUGUUUUUAAAAACAGUUUUGAAUGUUAGAGCUAAGUGAAGAACAAUUGCUGAAAGUUUGAAACAGAAAGGUGGCAAAGUUUCUAUUUUUUCGAUGUUUUUCUUUUUUUUUUUUCUUCUAAAUUGACUCAUAUUUGGAGGAGGAGAAAAAAGUGGGUUAUAGUUUUUGGGUGUUUUGCAAACCUCUUUCCCAUUUUUUGUAUUGCCUCAAGUAUUAUUGCCCUUUUUGCGAAUGAACCUUUUUUAUACUUGAAAAUCUGGAAAUUUAAGGUCAAUGAAGAGCUGCUACUGAAAAUUUGUACGCCUUGCCUUAUAUUUGGAGAGAAAAAAAAGUGGGUUAAUUGGUGUUUUUAGAGAAAAGGGGAGAAAAAUUAUCUCACUGCUUUGAGUUGAGUGGAAGUGAAAAAGUAUUAUUGCCCUUUUUGCGAAUGUUGGAGGAGGAGAAAAAAGUGGGUUAUAGUUUUUGGGUGUUUUGCAAACCUCUUUCCCAUUUUUUGUAUUGCCUCAAGUAUUAUUGCCCUUUUUGCGAAUGAACCUUUUUUAUACUUGAAAAUCUGGAAAUUUAAGGUCAAUGAAGAGCUGCUACUGAAAAUUUGUACGCCUUGCCUUAUAUUUGGAGAGAAAAAA
rnacentral:lncRNA from 1 species